GGUUGUUGCGCGAUGACGUCAGACGUGCGACGCCUGUGCUCCACCAUUGCGGCGGCUGUCUCGUGAGUGUUCUUGUCAUCCACUGCCAUCCAGGAUUCCGCCGCCUUUCCUGAACCCAGGUGGGAGUCAUGGCCGAGGUGAUGGUCCCUCAAAGUGGAAGGGUCUGCUGUCACCCAGCUCUUCUGCAAGAAUCCUGGAUGUUUGUGCAACAGCCAGCCAUGGAAUGUAAGAGGCAGUGCCUUCCUCCAGGGCAGAGAGCAGUCAUUCUUGCUGUCCAUCGUAAAAGAUUGGGAGUCCUGCACUUGGGGUGCUUUUCCUGUAACACAGCCCACUGCGUGUGCAGGUGCCUUCUGACUCCCUUUGCAUUGCUGUGUAGGAACUGGGGCUUUGAGAGGGUGGUAGAAAAUGCUGAUGUUCUUGCUAUUGCUAUUGCUGUGAAUUGAAUAACCAAUUGUCCUUUGUCUCUAAUCAAGGAAUUCUGUGUUUUCUAUCAGCAUCCAUAAACCUGGCAGGCUACCUUGUUAGCUGCAGAGGGGGCAGCUCAGACCUUCCCAGUUCCUGACAGCCACUACCCUCCAGUGGCUCCACUUUGUAUCCCUGCCCCAGCACGUGGCACAGAGGUGUCUGCCAUCCGUCAGUGUUUCAGCAAUCCCAGGAUGCCAGAGCUAGAGGAGACCUGAGAGAUGAUUUCUUCAGUGGCUGCCAGGUUGUUCCGUGGAAACUGUGCCAGGGAUGAGGAUGUGGAUACUGAGAACGAGGCUUACCUGUGUUGAUACACCUUAUGAGGAGUGGAGCAGAAUUGGAACCCAAGUCUUUAUACCUUAAUUAUCUGAGCAGGUUUGAAGCCUCACAUGCCUCCCUUCUAGGAGGAGUUGGGAAUUUCUGGUUUUUGGCCUUUGAUGGGGUGUUAGUGGCUCCUGGCUUGGGCUGUGGGUUUGAUAGACAUUCUCUGACCUCAGGUUUGGGUGCCAGGUUCUCUGCUUCCAGAAUGAAGAGCCUUGCUAUGCGUCAAGAUCCAGGUCCUUCUGUCAUCUAUUGAAUGAAAAACAAGUGAUAUUUAAUAAAUAAUUGUUUUAAAUGUGA